rnacentral:rRNA from 1 species
GUGUCAGCCGCCGCGGUAAUACGGAGGUUGCAAGCGUUGUUCGGAAUCACUGGGCGUAAAGGGGGCGCAGGCGGUUUGUUAAGUCUGGAGUGAAAGCCCGGGGCUCAACCUCGGAAGGCCUUUGGAUACUGGCAAACUAGAGUACGGGAGAGGAGAGUGGAAUUCCAGGUGUAGCGGUGAAAUGCGUAGAUAUCUGGAGGAACACCGGUGGCGAAAGCGGCUCUCUGGCCCGAUACUGACGCUGAGGCCCGAAAGCGUGGGGAGCGAACAGGAUUAGAUACCCUGGUAGUCCACGCCGUAAACGUUGUGCACUAGGUGUGGGGGGAUAUCGACCCCCUCCGUGCCGCAGCUAACGCAUUAAGUGCACCGCCUGGGGAGUACGCCCGCAAGGGUGAAACUCAAAUGAAUUGACGGGG